GGGUGAGUAACACGUAGGUAACCUACCCCAGAGACAGGGAUAACCCUAGGAAACGAGGGCUAAUACCGGAUGACCUCCGGAAGGAGGAAAGGCUCAGGCGCUCUGGGAGGGGCUUGCGGCCCAUCAGCUAGUUGGUAGGGUAAAGGCCUACCAAGGCGAAGACGGGUAGGGGGUGUGAGAGCACGGCCCCCCACAAUGGGACUGAAACACGGCCCAUACUCCUACGGGAGGCAGCAGCAGGGAAUAUUGCACAAUAGGCGAAAGCCUGAUGCAGCGACGCCGCGUGAGUGAAGAAGGCCUUCGGGUCGUAAAGCUCUUUUGUAGGGGAAGAGGAAGGACGGUACCCUAAGAAGAAGCGUCGGCUAACUACGUGCCAGCAGCCGCGGUAAGACGUAGGACGCGAGCGUUAUCCGGAAUUACUGGGCGUAAAGGGCCAGCAGGCGGCUUGGUAAGUUGUGCGUGAAAGCCUCGUGCUCAACGCGAGGAAGCCGGACAAUACUGUCGAGCUAGAGGGCAUCAGAGGGGAGUGGAAUUCCCGGAGUAGCGGUAAAAUGCGCAGAUAUCGGGAGGAACACCGAUGGCGAAGGCAGCUCCCUGGGAUGCACCUGACGCUAAGAGGCGAAAGCUAGGGGAGCGAACAGGAUUAGAGACCCUGGUAGUCCUAGCUGUAAACGCUGGGUGCUAGGUGUGGGACGUAGAAGUUCCGUGCCGGAGCAAACGCGAUAAGCACCCCGCCUGGGAAUUACGGUCGCAAGGCUAAAACUCAAACGAAUUGACGGGGCCCCGCACAAGCAGCGGAGCGUGUGGUUCAAUUCGAUGCUACACGAAGAACCUUACCUGGGUUUGACAUGUACGUGGUACGAAGGCGAAAGCCUAAGGACCCUUCGGGGAGCGUACACAGGUGCUGCAUGGCUGUCGUCAGCUCGUGCCGUGAGGUGUCGGGUUAAGUCCCGUAACGAGCGCAACCCUUGCCCUUAGUUACAAGUGUCUAAGGGGACUGCCGGCGGGAAGCCGGAGGAAGGUGGGGAUGACGUCAAGUCAGCAUGGCCCUUAUGUCCAGGGCUACACACUCGCUACAAUGGUCAGU
rnacentral:rRNA from 1 species